GUCGGGAUAGCUCAGCUGGUAGAGCAGAGGU
rnacentral:tRNA from 1 species